UUUCCGCCCACAAUCAAAAAGCAAACUUCGAUAAUACUGACGACCAAGUCUCCUGAACUGUCACUCAUCUUUAAUGCAAGAUACGCUCGACAAGAUAUUCCCAAAUCUUCUCAGAGUGCCUGACGCAUCCCCGAUAUUUAAAGUCAUAAAUUGAGGCGACAUCCACCGCCUGAAUACCCUCCUGAUAGCCGCCACCUGGCACCAAAAAUGUCAUGAUUGCUUUGCCACCCUAUGAGCCGCAAUCAUGACGAUGGGACUCGCUAGCACAGCGGGGGCAUACUUUCUGACUCGUAUAUAAACUCUAAGGAGACUCUCAGGAAGGUAAGCAUCCUUGACGAAAAUCACGGAGUAACACUCCCAAAGGAAAACUCUAUUUUCCACCAACUUCCAAAAGACUAACUUAAUCAUCGGAGGGUGUGUCCGGACAACCCAUCCGGACAUCUUUUUGCAGGAGGAAGGAGGAAUUACUACUACGCGUUGAUCGAGAUUCCGUUGCUGGUGACUACUAUUGUAGCAGGGGAAUUUUGCCAUCAACAAUAAGCACUUGAAGAAGCUUGAAGAAAUGGGCAUUGAAGAAGAUACAGGAACUCAUGCAAGCUCUUGCUGCUUGAACUCCAUCACCCAACAGAGAUGCUUUGAAAAACUGAACCCCAACUGGACUUCAGUCAACUGCUACUCCUCCACAGGCAGAGAGAAAAGAUUGAAGCAACAGUCUGGAAACUCCAGCGCAUAAAAUCUGAUUCCCCCGACCAGACUCUAAGCCAUGGCAGGCUUUUGGUGACGAGCCCAAAUAGCAGCAGCCUCUUUCCAGGGAUAAGGAUAGUGUUUAGGACCAGAAAAUGGUCAUCACAACAAACCAGCCACAGAAGCAACUUCUGGCCCUGAAACUUGGUGUUUUGGAUAGGAGAGUUUUACAGCCACCCCUGCUGCCAGCUCUAAUAUUUCCAGACCCACUGUUGGAGGCAUAAUGCCCAACUUAUUGGUGACUCAAAGAAGAUUGAGAGCAAGUCGGCUACUGAACCUGCUAGAUUAGCUGGUUUCUAACUUAUUUGGUGAGGUUAUAUCAUCCUUAGCACUUCUGGUCAUAAGAGAUGAGAAUAGGCAAAAAAGCAAAAAAAAAAAGAGAUAAGUGGCUUUCUGGGCUUGCUUAUGCUACUGAGUAUAGAGUGUUUCCCUUAUGGAAUAGAAUACAACAUUUACAUAUGUUCCCUGGUUGAAAUAAUAUAUACUAUUUUGCCAUGUAUUUUUUUUAAUCCAUGAAAAUCUUACAUUA